CGUCACUUGGCUGCGUGGUGACACACCCUGGAAGUAGGUUUGUUCCGUGUCUCCGAGAGCCUUUGGCCUGGGGACGCUGCCAGUGCCUUUCUCCCCGGGACACUGCCUGCUGGGCCUGCUCCCUCCGGGGCUGCCUGCCCCUCACAAGGCUGCACUUUCUCAGGGGACGUCUCUUUGGGGUCUUUCGGGUCCUUCUGAGAAGUCACACCAGUCACCAGUGACCCCCGCCCAAACACAAAACCAGAGACUGACAAAAUGUUACCAGGCUGUGAUUUUACCAGGAAGAGACUCUGGGAAAAUGACUGUUAUUGCCAUCAUUUCCCAUGAAGGAAGGACGUUUUAGCACUCAGUAAAGCUGAUGAAGGAACGCUUGGUCCAGGUUGGCAGAUGUUCCUGGAAGGUUUGGGAACCAGUGUCCUAAGGAGACUCACUCUGGCCUAGAGGCCCAGUCAAGCUCCGCUCCAGCACUCCUCACAAAGUCACAGGGCUGGGACCCUGCGUCAGCCGAGGGUGCUCCCAGUCUGCGCAGGAAGGAUGCUGACAGGAGCCAGAUCCCACAGCCCCUCCUGCAUGAUCC
rnacentral:lncRNA from 1 species